UACGUAGGGUGCAAGCGUUGUCCGGAAUUAUUGGGCGUAAAGAGCUCGUAGGCGGUCUGUCGCGUCUGCUGUGAAAACUCAGGGCUUAACCCUGAGCUUGCAGUGGGUACGGGCAGACUAGAGUGCGGUAGGGGGAGACUGGAAUUCCUGGUGUAGCGGUGAAAUGCGCAGAUAUCAGGAGGAACACCGGUGGCGAAGGCGGGUCUCUGGGCCGUAACUGGACGCUGGAGGAGCGAAAGCCAUGGGGAGCGAACAGG
rnacentral:rRNA from 1 species